ACGGGUGCGUAACGCGUGGGAAUCUGCCCCUUGGUUCGGAAUAACAGUUAGAAAUGACUGCUAAUACCGGAUGAUGACUUCGGUCCAGAGAUUUAUCGCCGAGGGAUGAGCCCGCGUAGGAUUAGGUAGUUGGUGGGGUAAAGGCCUACCAAGCCGACGAUCCUUAGCUGGUCUGAGAGGAUGAUCAGCCACACUGGGACUGAGACACGGCCCAGACUCCUACGGGAGGCAGCAGUGGGGAAUAUUGGACAAUGGGCGCAAGCCUGAUCCAGCAAUGCCGCGUGAGUGAUGAAGGCCCUCGGGUCGUAAAGCUCUUUUACCCGGGAUGAUAAUGACAGUACCGGGAGAAUAAGCCCCGGCUAACUCCGUGCCAGCAGCCGCGGUAAUACGGAGGGGGCUAGCGUUGUUCGGAAUUACUGGGCGUAAAGCGCACGUAGGCGGCUACUCAAGUCAGAGGUGAAAGCCCGGGGCUCAACCCCGGAACUGCCUUUGAAACUAGGUGGCUAGAAUCUUGGAGAGGUCAGUGGAAUUCCGAGUGUAGAGGUGAAAUUCGUAGA
rnacentral:rRNA from 1 species